rnacentral:rRNA from 1 species
GAUCCUGGCUCAGGAUGAACGCUAGCUACAGGCUUAACACAUGCAAGUCGAGGGGAAACGACAUCGAAAGCUUGCUUUUGAUGGGCGUCGACCGGCGCACGGGUGAGUAACGCGUAUCCAACCUUCCGUACACUCAGGGAUAGCCUUUCGAAAGAAAGAUUAAUACCUGAUGGUAUGAUGAGAUUGCAUGAUAGCAUCAUUAAAGAUUUAUCGGUGUACGAUGGGGAUGCGUUCCAUUAGGUAGUAGGCGGGGUAACGGCCCACCUAGCCUACGAUGGAUAGGGGUUCUGAGAGGAAGGCCCCCCACAUUGGAACUGAGACACGGUCCAAACUCCUACGGGAGGCAGCAGUGAGGAAUAUUGGUCAAUGGACGAGAGUCUGAACCAGCCAAGUAGCGUGAAGGAUGAAGGUCUUACGGAUUGUAAACUUCUUUUAUAAGGGAAUAAACCCUCCCACGUGUGGGAGCUUGUAUGUACCUUAUGAAUAAGCAUCGGCUAACUCCGUG